rnacentral:rRNA from 1 species
UACGUAGGGUGCGAGCGUUGUCCGGAAUUAUUGGGCGUAAAGAGCUCGUAGGCGGUCUGUCACGUCGGAUGUGAAAACUCGGGGCUCAACUCCGAGCCUGCAUUCGAUACGGGCAGACUAGAGUUCGGUAGGGGAGACUGGAAUUCCUGGUGUAGCGGUGAAAUGCGCAGAUAUCAGGAGGAACACCGGUGGCGAAGGCGGGUCUCUGGGCCGAUACUGACGCUGAGGAGCGAAAGCGUGGGGAGCGAACAG